UUAUUUUCCAACUUUGAACUUCAGUUUUUAAAAUGGAACAAGUCAGGCGAGACUUGCUGUAAUUGAUGGAAGUCGAUGAAAAUACCACUCAGAUUUAAUGCUUAAUCGUAUACUCUUAUGUCGUUUCCUGUGUAUCCAUCUCAUCUUGACAGCCAGCUCUUCAAGCAGGGGGACAGUGUCACAGUCCACAGGAAAGAGCAUAAGGUUCAGAAGUAGAGGCCCUGCGUCCCAGGCCCAGCUUUGCAACCUACCGGCCUGUGCGACCUUGGAUGAACAAGCUGACUCCCGGUGGAGCGAAAGAAGCUUGAACCAGCAAAAUUAGUAUGUGGUCGCAAUGGAGUCGCACUCACAGCUCCUACCGGCUUGACUCCUAAACUGUGUUUCUGUUCUGGAGAUUCUGAAAGCCAUAAAAUCAGCUGACCUCAUCCACUAUCAGAGCCAGGAGAAGCUUGGAUCGUGAGAACAAACCUCGCAGUAUUCAAAGUGGGAUUGCAUAUGCGGCGAAAGAAAUUUUUAGAGCGAAACGGAGUUCAAUUUCUAUGGAGCCUAGCUUUGUUUUCUUUGUUUGACUAAAACCUCAAGUAAGAGAGGGGAAUGCAGUGGGAAUAAUUAGCCACAACGGGUGGUAUAAAUCCAAGGAGAAAAAUAAUUCAUCAACUUUAAAGCAACUCAUUUAAAACUGGAAGCCAGUAUCCAUUCAUCCAGCAGAUUAGGCCUCCCUUGCAAGUGGAAUCCCUCCAGGCCCUGGAUGACUCAAGGCCCGAGUGUCCCUCUCCUCAUCCACCAGGAGACUUCUGUGACUUACUCUGGUGAGAGACUCACGACCAAUAAAUCCAUCAUGCCACUCCUCUCUGUUAUUCUUGGUUACCAUCCAAGAUCCUUUAACUUCCUCUCCUCUUUAUAGCUGUCUGCUCCAACUCCCCAACCCACCUUCCCACUGCUCUGCUUUCCAAUCCUUCCAUGGUCCCAUAGGAAGCAAGUUCUCUGCAUCUGCAACCUUUAAGAUUCCCUCUAUUUCCAUUCCUUAACUGAGACCAGGCUCUCCCCAAAGGAUGCUGCUUCUCUUGGUAGCUGUCUCAAAGGGAUAAUUCUCAUUUUCUGACUCCACACAUGCCCCUAGGGGAAAGAAAAGCCUUGCUUCCUUCCAGCCUUUGCCAUAAGGCUCUCCCCUCUGGUUAUAUCACUAGCUGUCCUCUGGACAAAAACCUUCGUUCAGUGAAGACACUGGUGUGGGACUCAUCCUCCUAAUUUCCACUCUAGGCCUGGCUCAUCUCUGAGACCUUUACUCUCUCUCUCAUCGGCCACCCUUUCCAUAAGCACACCAUGUACCCUAUUGCACCCCACAACUGUUCCAUCCCAGAAAGAAUAAGUGUAGACGUUCCACUGUCGACCAGGCCUCUUAAUUUCACACCGAGCUCAUGCAGUUACUCCUAUUCCACACAUUCCUUGAUCAGAUGGUCUUGCUGUUAUUGUCCUUCCUUGAGUCUCUUGAAGCCCAGCUCUUCCCCUACCCACUGGUCACUCCAUUUCCCACCCAGCUUAGACUAAAUGGUUCACUCUUUCCAUAUUUCUCUUGGCAGUUAGCUUCCUUGCCCCCUUUUCUUUUUUCUGUUAUGCCCACUCUAAAAACCCCUGGAUCACUCAAGUGUCUGACUUCAACUUGCGUAGACCAGAACUGCUACAUUGCUAAAGAAAAUAGCAUUAUCACAGAGGCUGGCACACUCUAUACCUAGGCUUUUCAGCCCUGUGAUUCAUUGAACUGAUGAUUUCAAAACUUUUUCAUCCUUCUCAGUGACCUACAGCACCCCACGUUUCAGGCUGUCACCUCCUACUGCUCUCUUGCCUAGACCUGUCCAGCCACUUGGACCUCCUUGCUGAAUCUUGAACAUGUCCGUGAUGGUCGGUUUAUGUGUCAACUUGACUCCGCUGUCAUUCCCAGUUAUCCAAUCAAACGCCAAUCCAAGUGUUGCUGUGACGGUAUUUCGUAGAUGUGAUUAAAACUCAUAAUCAGCUGACUUGAGCUAAGGGAAAUUGUCUUAGAUACUCUGGUCGGACUCGAUUUGGCGAAAUCUUACAGCAGAAGGCUGUAACAGCAGAACUUUUGUGGCCGCAGCUUUAGCUCAUACCUGAAAGUUCCGGCCUCCCUUUCUGACAGCCUGCCCUACAGAUUUAGGACUUGGCUAGCCAACUUCCACGGUCACAGAAGCCAAUUCCCUGGAAUAAAUCUCUUAGCAUAUAUCUGAUUCUGUUGGUUCUGUUUUUGGGUUGAACCCUGGUGUGGAUUUCCUCGCCCUGAAAGUAGAGCAGCGCUCUACUAAUACCUAAUACCUAAAAAUGUGGAAGUGGUUUUGGAAUUGGGCAGUAGGCAGAAGCUGGAAGAGUUUUGAAGGUCAUGUGAGAAAAAGCCUCGAUUGCCUUCAAUAGAUUUUUAGUAGA